UCAGAUUUUAAAAUAGCUUCCUAUUCAGUAACUCCCGUGCCCUGCUGUAAAGAUAGGUUGUUCACUUCUUCCAUCUCCUAUGAUGAAGAAUGAAUACCGGGCGGCUAGAACAAAUGUUCUGCUUGCGUGCAAGCCAAACGACGUUUCUCUCCAUGUCGUCUUCUCUUCGCUAUAGCGCGGACGUUGAACUUACAGGCGAUACGAGGUGCCGACUUAUUUGUCAUGUUCUUGUUUCCCCAACUAUUGGAUCCGAAGAUCACUAAAAAUUGGGUGGAUGAAAUGGUUAGAUGCAAAAUACCAAAGGGGAAACGAGAUGUGGUUCGAUCCCGAUCGGUACCAAAUGAGUUCGUAAUGUAAUUUCCGGUUUCAAAAACCCAAAACUCGUUAAUCUGAGGAUUCACAGUCUCCCUGUUCAACCAUUUCAAGUUACUCAGUGGAAGAAGUUAGAGUGUGCUUGGUAGUGUCGUGAUUUCGUUGAGGGUUAGCGCAAUUAGGAGAUCAGUGAAUGUGUGGAGACUUUGCGGGCAAGUGCGAGGAAACAGAGAGCCGUGCGACGGCUUUUAAUUCCAGAUUUUGCGCCUGGCGAAGCUACCACCGCACCGCCAGCAAAGAUCAUCCCACCUCCUGCCACCACACUCUGGAUUCAAGUUUCCCAUCGAGGAAUUGCGUCAGUUGCAGCAAAAACUCGGACAAAAAAGCGCCGCCACGUGCGUAAUGCGGAAUUACUAAACGCCGUCAACCGGAUCCCUAACAUCCGUAUUUUGAUGCUGGUACGCUGUCCGGAGGUCGGACACUACCAGCAGUUAACUUAAACCUGUGCUAGGACCUCAACAACAGCCUUGGCGCUAGAAAGCGCAAAACAGCCGUUCCGUCGCUGAAUCGUCAUCGUCGAAUUUGGUACAAGCAGCGGGUCACCAGCAGUCGUCGCCGUUGAUGGUGUGAGUACGCAUCGAAAGCAGUGGGAGAUGGUCAGCGAAUAAGUAGAGUGAGUAAACGCCUAAAUUCCCUGCGCAGGGUGACAAAAGCUCGAGAAUAUUAUAGCGUGUUUACACAGUUUCCCACCCGCACUUGUUAGGGCCCUGAACCGGCAUUAGAAAUGUAGAAUAAGUAAAUUAAGAGUAGGAUGUUAGUUUGUAAAA